rnacentral:lncRNA from 1 species
AAUCAAAUAACCUUGCUGACAAUCGAGUUUUGCUUUACAAGGGAUGGUUGACUGGAAGAAUGCAGGAGGCAAGUCAGAGAAGGUUCUUGCUGUUGUUUUGAACAACCAGAAGUAUUCAUUCUUUCUUGAUAAUAAGAAUAUAUAGUUGCAGGAGAAGGAUCUUGUGAUAAAGAAAUGUGAUGCCUAGAACUAAUUAAUGAUGGAACUGUUGGUUGUAUACAGUGAUACUGAGGAACAACAACAACAGCCUGAUUCAUGACGAAGGUCAUGAGACUUUGGGGAGUCAACAGCAAAAAAUGCUGAGCUACAUCAGGUUG